rnacentral:rRNA from 1 species
UUAACACAUGCAAGUCGAGGGGAAACGACAUCGAAAGCUUGCUUUUGAUGGGCGUCGACCGGCGCACGGGUGAGUAACGCGUAUCCAACCUGCCCACCACUUGGGGAUAACCUUGCGAAAGUAAGACUAAUACCCAAUGAUAUCUCUAGAAGACAUCUGAAAGAGAUUAAAGAUUUAUCGGUGAUGGAUGGGGAUGCGUCUGAUUAGCUUGUUGGCGGGGUAACGGCCCACCAAGGCAACGAUCAGUAGGGGUUCUGAGAGGAAGGUCCCCCACAUUGGAACUGAGACACGGUCCAAACUCCUACGGGAGGCAUCAGUGAGGAAUAUUGGUCAAUGGACGAGAGUCUGAACCAGCCAAGUAGCGUGCAGGAUGACGGCCCUAUGGGUUGUAAACUGCUUUUAUAAGGGAAUAAAGUGAGUCUCGUGAGACUUUUUGCAUGUACCUUAUGAAUAAGGACCGGCUAAUUCCGUGCCAGCAGCCGCGGUAAUACGGAAGGUCCGGGCGUUAUCCGGAUUUAUUGGGUUUAAAGGGAGCGUAGGCCGGAGAUUAAGCGUGUUGUGAAAUGUAGAUGCUCAACAUCUGCACUGCAGCGCGAACUGGUUUCCUUGAGUACGCACAAAGUGGGCGGAAUUCGUGGUGUAGCGGUGAAAUGCUUAGAUAUCACGAAGAACUCCGAUUGCGAAGGCAGCUCACUGGAGCGCAACUGACGCUGAAGCUCGAAAGUGCGGGUAUCGAACAGGAUUAGAUACCCUGGUAGUCCGCACGGUAAACGAUGGAUGCCCGCUGUUGGUCUGAAUAGGUCAGCGGCCA